rnacentral:rRNA from 1 species
ACGGGAGGCAGCAGUAGGGAAUUUUCGGCAAUGGGCGAAAGCCUGACCGAGCAAUGGUGCGUGACCGACGAAGGUCUUCGGAUCGUAAAGGUCUUUUAUUGGGGAAGAACACGGCUCGCAGGAAAUGGCGUGCCGCUGACGGUACCCUAUGAAUAAGCUCCGGCCAACUAUGUGCCAGCAGCCGCGGUAAUACAUAGGGAGCGAGCGUUAUCCGGAAUUAUUGGGCGUAAAGAGUGCGUAGGCGGUUCGCUAAGUCGGUGGUGAAAUGCUGGGGCUAAGCCCCAACCUGCCUCCGAAACUGGCGUACUGGAGUACGGUAGAGGCAAGUGGAAUUCCAUGUGUAACGGUAAAAUGUGUAGAUAUAUGGAGGAACACCAGAGGCGAAGGCGGCUUGCUAGGCCGGCACUGACGCUGAUGCACGAAAGCGUGGGUAGCAAACAGGAUUAGAUACCCUGGUA